rnacentral:rRNA from 1 species
CCUACGGGAGGCAGCAGUGGGGAAUAUUGGGCAAUGGGCGCGAGCCUGACCCAGCAAAGCCGCGUGAAGGAAGAAGGCUUUCGGGUUGUAAACUUCUUUUAAGAGGGAAGAGCAGAAGACGGUACCUCUUGAAUAAGCUACGGCUAACUACGUGCCAGCAGCCGCGGUAAUACGUAGGUGGCCAGCGUUGUCCGGAUUUACUGGGUGUAAAGGGCGUGUAGCCGGGCUGACAAGUCAGGUGUGAAAUCCGGGGGCUCAACCCCCGAACUGCAGUUGAAACUGGUGGUCUUGAGUAUCGGAGAGGCAGGCGGAAUUCCUAGUGUAGCGGUGAAAUGUGUAGAUAUUAGGAGGAACACCAGUGGCGAAGGCGGCCUGCUGGACGACAACUGACGGUGAGGCGCGAAAGCGUGGGGAGCAAACAGGAUUAGAUACCCCUGUAGUC